UGGGGAAUUUUGCACAAUGGGGGAAACCCUGAUGCAGCGACGCCGCGUGAUUUAGAAGGCCUUCGGGUUGUAAAAAUCUUUUCUAUGGGAAGAAAAUGACAGUACCAUAGGAAUAAGGACCGGCUAAUUACGUGCCAGCAGCCGCGGUAAUACGUAAGGUCCGAGCGUUGUCCGGAAUCAUUGGGCGUAAAGGGUACGUAGGCGGGUAAGCAAGUUAGAAGUGAAAUCCUGUAGCUCAACUACAGUAAGCUUUUAAAACUGCUCAUCUUGAGAUAUGGAAGGGAAAGUGGAAUUCCUAGUGUAGCGGUGAAAUGCGCAGUUAUUAGGAGGAAUACCGGUGGAGAAGGCGACUUUCUGGCCAUAAUCUGACGCUGAGGUACGAAAGCGUGGGUAGCAAACAGG
rnacentral:rRNA from 1 species